CGAACGGGUGAGUAACACGUGGGCAACCUGCCCAAAAGAGGGGGAUAACACUUGGAAACAGGUGCUAAUACCGCAUAACCAUAGUUACCGCAUGGUAACUAUGUAAAAGGUGGCUAUGCUACCGCUUUUGGAUGGGCCCGCGGCGCAUUAGCUAGUUGGUGGGGUAAAGGCUUACCAAGGCAAUGAUGCGUAGCCGAACUGAGAGGUUGAUUGGCCACAUUGGGACUGAGACACGGCCCAAACUCCUACGGGAGGCAGCAG
rnacentral:rRNA from 1 species